CCUAUGUCAUUUUAUUUUUGGUCUCCUGGUUUUAUAGUUGGAUUUUAUUUUACAAGCCAACGUGUGACUCUGUGUUUUGUCAGAGAGGUUUCUAAGGACUUUAUCUUUACUGACUGAUUCUAACUGGCGCUGCUUGCUUCUAACAUGUUUCUCAGAAAUGCAGCCCCUGACAUAGCUCAUCAACCCUGGGAGGGGCAGGGAGCUGCUGUAUGUGAUGGUGGAGCACUCGACAGUCUUCUCUUUGUUAGCUGAAUUCUCUGGAUGGGGUCAGCUUUCUUCACAUAUUGCGAGGAGAAACGGGGCACUUUAAAUUCUUUUGACAGAGUGAGUCACUUCUAGCUAGGAAUGUGACCUAAAAAGAAAUUUCUCAUUUUGUAACACCAUAAUCUUUCUGGUUCAAAUUUUAAUAGCUACCAUUUGUGUGUUUGGAGUUAUCCUUAAUGCUUUACAUAUAGCAUCUUACUUUACCUUCCUAAUGUCCCUAAGAGUAAACUUUGUUCUUCCCAUUUUGCAUAUGAUAAACCAAAGGUCAAUGAACAGUUGUCAUUUGUCCUAGGAAAUAGCAAGAGUUUGAAAACAGGCCCAUUUUACUUCUAAAACUGUGUUAUCUUCUCCUCCACCAAAUCCCCCAGACGACAGAAAAAUGCCUGACAGCGCAUUCCUUCUGCUUCCCACCCCUUUGAGGAGCUCUCCAAAAUUUUGCCGUUUAUUCACCUAAGGCUCAGAAUCAAGUAGGCAAUUUUAGUGCUAUCUUGCUCCCGUUAAGUGAUGCAAAACGCAGUAAGCAGUAGUCUAAUACAGAGACACACCACACGGAAGACAAGAUGGAGUCGCAGGGUAAAAUUUUUAGGAGAGAAGAAAGCCCAGUUUAGAUGAAUUCAACUCAAUAAACAUUGGAUUAGCCCCUGCCAUUUGGCGAUCCUUGGGGAGAUACAAAGAUGAAUUACAAAUUAUUUGUACAUAAGGAGCUCCCAGAUUCUGAUAAGUAAACACGAUUUGAAUUUCGUAAGAAUGGGAGUAUCCAAAAUAUGAGACUGUAUCAUGAAAAUAAGGAUUACAGUUAGAAGGCUAUGUCUUCACUGACAUUUAAAUGCCAAGCUCUGCCCCUGAGUCAGUGGCUCAGUUGGAAGGAAUGGCCUCGAGUGUCAUGGGUUUUUUUAGCUAAAAAACUUCUGGUUUCGAAAGACUUAACAAGUUUCAUAGACCGUUCAACUUCUUCUUAGGAUACAACUAAAGCCAAGCCAGGAAGAGGCAGACAAGAUGAGAAACCCGGAAUCAAGGUAAGACUCAAGGAGAAGAUUGAAACAUAGGUUAAGUGCUCACCAUUUUUUAAAGGCCAUCAGUUCAUUUUGCAUAACCGUUUUUGGAAACCAAAGGAAAAGCAAAGCUACUUCAGCAUUUCUUUCCUGUAUGCAUCACAUAUCCUGAGGCACAUGAAGAAGAAUCAGCACUUCCUCUGGUGACCUGAGUUUGGGGCUACCUAGCACAGAAUGAGUGACUUUGCAUAAGCCAUCAUGAGGCCUGAGACUCUGGCCUCAUCAGUAGUCAUGGGAGCCCACGCUAAGGAAAAGUGGAGUCCAGGGCCACGUAAUCUGCUUGAAAAGCUCUGAAGAAAACAUGAUGCACGGAUCAAAUUCCCGAUGCUACUAGGAGGAGUGCUGAAUAUGGUUGCUUAGAGAACUUCAAGGGGAAGUGCCUCUCCUUACCCCUCUGUAUGCUUCCUGUCACAGAGAUCCAUCUGGAAUAUCCACUACUGUAUCUGUAGUGCUCACGACAUUGUAGGUGUUCAAUGAAUGACAAGAGAACAUAAAAAGUGUUAUAAACUAUCCCAUAGAAAUGAUCGCACUGAGCGUUCCAGGCUCAGAGGGACCCUGGGCCACACUGAGGACUUUAGAGGACACCAGACAUACAGAAAGCUCUAGUGAGAGAUGACUGUCACAGGAGCUGCUACCAGGAGAGAAAUCACUGGAAACCAUAAAAAUCACAGACAGCAGAGCGAAGUGUGAGCAGCAGUAGAAGGAGAGCUGCCUGGAGUUGCAUCUGUUGCUAACAGGAAUUGCCAUUGAAAGCAUCAAUCUCAAAACUUCAGCUCCAAGCUGUCUGCUGGGUCACAAAGUUUGUAAGUGGUAGAUUUAGAAUUUAAGGGGCAAGGGGAAAAAUGUAAAAAACAGAUGACUCAUGUUUUAUCAUUCAAUUUAGAGCAAUCUAGCAUGCACUUUUUUUGCGGAUUCACUGCAAGCUUAGCACAGUUGCUAAGCCUCUUAUCUCUUUGAGUCUUAGUUUUAAACAUCUAUAACUUCAGUUGUCAUCUCUUUAGGAUUCAGGGGGAAGAAAUGACUCACAUGAGCAUAACUCACAUAUGCCUGGGUUAUACCAGAAUCAAUGACUCCACCACUGAAAAAAAUUUUAAGCACCCACUUAUGUUUGAUAAAUUGCACUGGGUUGGUUGCAAAAGGGAAUGCCUAAAUACGGUUCAGAGUGUCCCAUUUCAUAAUUAUUUUCCUGAGACGGCUCACCUGGCUGGGAACUGUACUUGUGUUCAUUUUUUCCAGUUCAUUACUAGGUACCUCCAUUCAGAAAAGACCCAUCUACGUAAGGGUUAUUUUAAUCGUAUUACGGUGAAACUCAUGCCAGGAAUUGCUGGUAUAUUCACAGAGUGCUACGGCAGGUGUCGUGAGUGGAUUUCCUGCUGAAGAGCCAGAUUCCUCCAAAAGAAGAUUAUCAAUUCCAAGGAAAGCAAGUGUGGCCAGCUAGACUGACGACUCCUGCACGUGGGUGUUGCCAGGUGAAAUAAUCUUCUUCAUUCCAGACCACUGCUUGCCAAAGGGCUUGGACAGCCUGUUUAAUAUCACAGCCUCAGAAUUUCCUUGGACUGUGCUAGAAGCAUCUUUUCCAAAUUCAGUGUUUUCAGCGCGCCAACUUAACCUCUCGUGUCCUUUAUACUUAGCUACUCUUUUUCACUAAAAUACUCAACAUCUUUACACCUGAAACAUGAGUCUAAAGAGAUUGUCAGUAGUUGGACCAUUGGAAAUAUGUUCCCAAAAGUAAUUGGAGAAAACAAAAUUGAUUGCUAAAAUGAGUUCAACAUAAAAUCUUAAGUGACUCUGUCUGAUUUCUUCCAAGUGGAUGGAAGUGAGAUGGAUACCAAUGUCAACUUCUGUGUGCUGAGAUCUCUUGCUACUGCCAGUAACAUGGUGUCUUUCCUUAGCCACUGACUGUAGCAAAAUCCUAUCUUAUUUUUUAAUGAAAAUUCUGGAAGAUACACAAAAGUAGAAUAAAAAAGGAAAAAGAAAGAACUCAUGAUUUUAUAUUCUCCUAUGACUAUAUUGAUGUAUUCAUCUGUCUAGAAAAAUCCAUUUUCUAUAUAUGUACUCAGUUUUCUUGGCAGUUAUUUGUUAAUAUUUAUGGACCAUGUGUUAGCCAUGAUCCCUAGAUUUUCUACUUAUUACUAUAUUUUAUCCUCACCCAAAUCCUGUGAAUUAAGUAGUAUAUUUUACAGAUGAAGAAACUAAAGUUCACAGAAGUUUGGUACCCCAUACCACACAGUAAAGGAAAGACUGAGAUUCACACCAGAUCUCUCUAAUUCCAACAGCCAUUGUUAGCUCUUAGGAUUUGUUGUCAAUACUGCAAGGGAGCUCACAAACACAAGCGUACCUGAAAAUGGAUCACCCACAGGGGUAAUAACCACCUUUUUAAGGGGGAAAAAAUCGGGUUACGUUCCCUGAAAAUUGUUAAUCUAUGUAUUUAUGGUUAAACUCCACAAGGCUGGAGACCACUGAGACCUAGACGUCCUCCUAAAGCCAAUGUCACCUUUUACAAUCGGGGACAUUUGGCAAUCCUAGGCGAGCCACAUGGAUUUAUUUCUUACAUAUGUGGCGGCAGACGAAUGUGCAGACACUGCAAAGCUCAGAGGAGCUCGUCCUGUAGACAAUUUUGUCCCAGACGUGACAUUUAAGUUCUCUCAGGAAACGUUAACUCGUUGAAGUUUUAUGCAGUUCUAGCAAGAGCACAAGAGGUUUUAAUAAAUUUUUUAAACAAAUGGACAGUUAUUAAGAAACACAAGGCAGCGUAAACAUAUUUACUUUAGCUUAAAAUGCACUAGAAAGGUUGGAUUCAGAUUUUCUUGAUCACAAGGGUGAUUAUACACAGCUUAGCCAGGGUUUAGGAGUUAAGCAGCAUAUAUUGAAGAUCUCACCUGUGUCAACACCUGUUCUUUAUCUCAGCUCCUCUGAAAAGUUGGGGUAAUAACACCUCUGAGUGCUGUUGUGAAAGACAGUGAAUGAAUGAUGGAGGAAAAGUACUCAGGCCUCUGCCUGAAUCGUGGUUUCCAUUCAAGAAAAGUUAGCAAUUCAACACUAGAACAGGUUAUUGGUCGAUAGAAUCCACAACUUGUAAAUAUAUUCUUUUCUAUUUUUCAAUGAAUUUUGCACAAUGUUCCUUUUUAUCUUGUAAUAAAUGAUUUAAAAUUCAGGAAAAAACUUCAAAUAUACGUAGUUAAAAACCAUUGUUCCUAGACUUUCGACUCCUUGUUCUUUAUGCCAUACUUGCUCAGUAUUCAUGAUUUAAUUCAAUAUUAAGAGUGCUCCUUCCUAUUUUACAUCAAUUGCCAAGUCAUUUAAAGCACUAAUCACAUACCUUUAUUAUAUUGAUUAGCUUUGUAUCGCUGUGAUCUCUUAGUAUCAAGUCAUUGUUUUCUCUACCAUUUUAACGAUUUAUCCAAACUCUAAAUCACAAUGUUUAGAACUACAAAAUUGAAAUAAUCAGGUAGAGAAAAAAACUAUCAAGCCCAAUAAGCUUUAGCAAAUGAGAAAAGACGGGUCUUAAGCCCAGUGCUGCCCUUUAGUCAGUGCAAGCUCGGGCAAUCACUCAUGAGUCCCGGGUUCAGCUUCCUCAACUGUAAGAUGAUCAUCAUGUGUCAGGCCUUCCUCCAAGGGUGUUGUGAAAUAACAUAUUAUAUGUGAAAGUCAUCUGCAAACUGUAGUCUGAGAGGAUGAGAGCUUGUUUAUUUAAACUUUGCCGUGAGAUAGAAGAUAAAAUACGUGAAAAGCCCCUAUCAGCAGUACAGUGCGUAUGGUACGCAUAAUGUCGUGUGAGAGCUUAUUUAUUUAAUCCCUCACAAUGGAGGCUCUGUGGUGUGAGCUGAGGUUUUGUAACAUUGUCAAGGCUUUCCAGAAAAGACGGCAGACCACACUAAGGAGAAUCUGAUAAAGAUCAAAUAAGUGGUCUUAAGAGAGUGUACUGUGGGUGUUCAGAGAGGGAAACAAGAACUAGGGAAACAAGAACUGUUCUUCAGAGAACAGCUACAAAGAGGUGCGUUUUUGACAGCAGCGUUGGAUUUGGGGUAGGAUUGAAAUAAACAGAGGGCAGAAGGGGGAGUUCCAGGUGGAGGAAGAGCCCAAGCCAUCACGUGUAGAGGUAGGAGCGUGCAAAGCCUGAGCGAUGGACUGAUUUGGAUACAGCAGAACCUUCCUGCAGGGAAGCAGUGGGAGAUGGAACUGGCAAGACCCAGCAAGUCUAAGUGGAAUGCCAAGAGAAUGAUGUACUUUGUUAACACAGCACAUUUGAAAGGAAGGCCACAGAAGGAUUCUUGAGCAGGAGAAUGAUGUGGUAAAAACUGUGAACUCCAGAUUCAGACAAACCAAUUUCUAAUCCAAAUUGGCCUUUUACUCAAUGUUUUCUUAGGCAACCCUUCCUGGACGUGCAUGGUGCACUGGGAAAAGCGUGAGCCUGGGAGUCCACGGAGGACCUUAGGAAUGUGAGGCCUCUUUUCUGGACCUACCUUUUGGCCAGCGUGGCGGGCAAUGCCAUCCUCUCGUAUCCUGACUCUUUAUCACUUCUGAAACCGUCUCGGCCACAUUUUUCCUUCACUGAAUUUCUAUCACUGUUCUUCCAUGUUAAGAGUACAAAAGCAGAUUAAGAAAUGUUUUCUCCUAAAAGUCCUCAAAAAAGUUCCAAACUGUCCUGUCUGUUAUUAAUUCUUUUUCCAUCCCUUUAUUUCUCAAUCUCCUUUAGUUGGUCACAUUGCCUUUCAGCAUCCAGUGUAUUACUACAUUACAAUUAGAAACACAUGAUUAUAUUUUUUAUUUAAUUAUUUUACCCAGGUCACGUUGGCCUAUAACACUGUGUAAGUUCAGGUGUACAUUAUUAUAUACCAGUUUCUGUAUAGACUGCAUUGUGCUCACCCCCAAUAGUCUAGUUUUUAUCAGACACCGCACAUAUGUGCCCUUUUAACCCUCACCCUACCCCUGCCCCUAACCCCUUCCCAUCUGGUAACCACUAAUCUGUUCUCCUUCUCCAAGAAACACAGGAUUACAUUUUAAGUGAUCAUUUCCUACCCAGAUCCAUCACUAAAAUGCCCUUUGUCACUAACAAAUUCUGACUCAUAUUUAAUACUGUUUUAACAUCAGAAAUGUUCUUACUAUUUAAAAUUAUCUUAAGCCAAGCUUUAUGUAGAGAGCUUGAAAACUAUCUUUGUGUCUACUGAGGCUCAUGUCAAUCAUAUUUUUGGCAAGAAAGAAAAAUAUUUGGUUCUUGAGUUGGGUCCCACAUUGAUUAUUUAGGUACUGACAUGCUAACAGUAAGGUUUUGCUUUCCUUUUCUUUUUUUAAUCAGGGAAAAUAAAGUCAAUCUACUCAUCUGCCCUCAGUCUCUCAAAACUGGAAGGAGGAGUGAACUUAAGUUUUCACAUAUUCCUUGAUUUUUAUCUUGGCUUCUGGAGAGUGGCAGAAGCCUGUUAUCCUACAAACGUAUGUAGAUUUGGAACCGCCAUUAUUUGAACCAUGCUCCCCAAAACCUAACUAGUACACAAAAGGCAAGUCUGCCGUAACCACUGAACCGGUAAAGAGGGCUGAGUAGAAGCAGUAAAGUUAUCCCACUGAAGCAUGAAAUAGAACUAUAGGAGCCUAAAUGGCCACAGUAGAGAAUCAGAACCACAAUUUCUAAGUUUCUAUUUCUUUCUUUUUCAUAGACAUGGGAUAUGAUUUGAGGUAAAUUGUCUCGAAUUCAAGAAUGUGUUUUUAUUUUGUUUUUCACAUUGUAAAAUGAUAUAGAUACUCUAUAUCCUAAAUAAUAAUGGUCUAUCUAUGGAUCAACUUGAGAUCUUUGGAAAACAAACAUUAAACAAUGAUGGAAAUGCCCAAUGGUGAUUUAUGAGUCUGGAAACCAUGAUAAUAUCAUUAUCAUCUGAGUUUUAAGUUGUUAUAAAUGAGAAUGGACUUAGAAUGCCAUUACUGGGAAUUUAUUCCCUAUGUCUGUACAUCAGUAACAUUUUACAGAUAUAAAAUGAUCUUUUCAAAAUGAUGUUUCAUGGUGUUUGCCUUCUAGUUUAUUACUGUAACACUUAAAAUGUUUAGAGUUGAAAUUAUCUGGAACUAGACAUUAAAAUGGUAAAUAUAUAUCCCUGGCUUUUCAACUAACUUGUUUGUGGUCUGUUAUGAUCUCUCUUUGGAGAAUUAUUUAGAUAAGGCUGCUCUUUUUCAAAAGAAAAUUUGAGAUAAUUAAAAGGGAUUUUUAUAAACAACUCUAAUUCCUAUUGAGAAAAUCAGAAUUUAUCACUGAAACAAAACAAAAUGCAUG